UACGUAGGGGGCAAGCGUUGUCCGGAAUCAUUGGGCGUAAAGCGCGUGUAGGCGGUCCGGUAAGUCGGCUGUGAAAGUCCAGGGCUCAACCCUGGGAUGCCGGUCGAUACUGCCGGACUAGAGUUCGGAAGAGGCGAGUGGAAUUCCCCGGUGUAGCGGUGAAAUGCGCAGAUAUCGGGAGGAGCACCAAUGGCGAAGGCAGCUCGCUGGGACGUUACUGACGCUGAGACGCGAAAGCGUGGGGGAGCAAACAGG
rnacentral:rRNA from 1 species